rnacentral:tRNA from 1 species
UUAAAUUUAGUUUAUAAAAAAAAUUUAUUUUUUACAAGAAUAAGAAUUAUUAAUUAAAAUUUAAAAUUUAUU